UGGGGAAUAUUGCACAAUGGGCGCAAGCCUGAUGCAGCCAUGCCGCGUGUAUGAAGAAGGCCUUCGGGUUGUAAAGUACUUUCAGCGGGGAGGAAGGGAGUAAAGUUAAUACCUUUGCUCAUUGACGUUACGCGCAGAAGAAGCACCGGCUAACUCCGUGCCAGCAGCUGCGGUAAUACGGAGGGUGCAAGCGUUAAUCGGAAUUACUGGGCGUAAAGCGCACGCAGGCGGGUUGUUAAGUCAGAUGUGAAAUCCCCGGGCUCAACCUGGGAACUGCAUCUGAUACUGGGAAGCUUGAGUCUCGUAGAGGGGGGUAGAAUUCCAGGUGUAGCGGUGAAAUGCGUAGAGAUCUGGAGGAAUACCGGUGGCGAAGGCGGCCCCCUGGACGAAGACUGACGCUCAGGUGCGAAAGCGUGGGGAGCAAACAGG
rnacentral:rRNA from 1 species